GUGCUUGCUAAGGCAGCACAUAUACUAAAAUUGGAACAAUACAGAGAAAAUUAGCAUUCCCCCUGCACAAGGAUGACAUGCAAAUUCAUGAAAAAUUCCAUAUUUAA
rnacentral:snRNA from 1 species